UGUCAGAUGCAUGAAUUAACAAAUGAAUCCAGGGAUACCCACAAGGUACUAAGAAGAGUCAAUCUUUUUAUUAUUAUUUUUUUUUUUUAGUGGAAAAAGUAUAUAGGACUCAAAAGGAUUUGAAAGUUCUACAACCGGCACUGUAGCCGACAUCUUACUACGGAAGCUGAAGACUGAACACGUUCCUGCCAGUCACACGUCCACACGUUUCCCGGCCUCCAUCACACACACUGACAUCAGCAAGCCUAUGAAAGCACAGCUAUGUGCCGCUGAGUGAGUUCACAAUCACUGCUUUUUCUCACCACAGCCUGUUGCUUUAAUUUAUUAAAGAAUUCACAAUUUCCUUG